rnacentral:SRP_RNA from 1 species
GCCGGGCGUGGUGGCGCACGCCUGUCAUCCCAGCAACUUGGGAGGC